UUAUUUAUUUUAAAGGAACUCUUUGGUUAUAAGGCAAAUAAAGAUGUAAAGUAUGUCAAGGUUAAAAAUACCAUGAAAUAAGAAAUGGGGCUGUGGAGUGUGUGUGGAGACACACACAGGUAUGAAGAUGAAAUAAUGUGAAUAUAGGUAGAGUGCUCAUUGUGUUGUGCUGUAUCCUAUGGAUCUAUGCGUUCAGUCCUAUGGAUGGGACAGGAUAGUGUCCCCAUUUUACAGAUGGGGAAACUGAAGCCUGGGCCGUCAUGUUUCUUGAGCAUGUCUCGGAUACCCAUGGCUGAGCCAAGAUUUCAACCCAGGGAGCCUGGGAUGUGAAUCACAAAGCCAUGUGACAUGUACAGUGUGACAUCAACAUUCCCUUUUCGGGGGUGCCAAAGCCACCCAGUUGGAGUGUCUAAGAGCUGCAAGGGAGGAGCCUCAGGAUGCCUGCUGGACCAGGGCUGAUGCAGAUCAGCAAUAAAGCUUUUCAUUGGUUUAUCUGCUAAGGACAGACCUUCUCUUUCUUUUCCUUGCUUAAAAAUCUGAGUGUUUGCCCAAGACAGCAAUGUGUGGAAAUGGAGAAAAUCCAAGAAUUCUCCUGUGGCUGUGCUAAAUUGAGCUUCCUCUCCAGUCUCCAUCUUUCCCUGCUCACCCCUCCCAUUUUCCAGCAAAAUGAGCAAUAGUUCACCCCUUCUGGAUUUAAGAGUCAGCCUUUCUCCAUGGUGACUCCAGUUCAGAGCUCAUUCGAAAGUCCUGCGACUCGUCGAAAUUCGACAUUGGAUUGGUGCCUCUGUUCCUUGGUGGGUGCCCUGUUUCCUCUAGAAUCUCACAAUACUGGAGUUGGGAUGUUUCAUCCACACCUUCUCCUCCCCACCUGGGUCUCAGGCCAGAUGAUCCAGAACAAAUCUUCCUGAAAUCAUUUGGGCAGCAGCAUCUGUCCAGAUCUUCCAAGAGCAAGAUCUCAAGAUGGUUUCACAAAUUACUUUUUCACCACAGAGGUGUUUGCUGUCACAAAGCAGACUCUUGGCUGCGCCGUGUCCUGCAGAGGGCUGCUCUGCACGCGGUGUGCACAUGUUUCUACUCAUCAGUGAGGUUUAGUGCCUGCUUCACUGGGCCCGGGAACCCCUGGGGAUACUGAGGCUUCAGUCCCAAAAGGCCACUGUCAGAGUGGAGAGGCUCCUCCAGCUCACAGCACAAUUUUGGUGUUGCACUGCUCUGAGCUAGCAGCUUUGUGAAGACCUAUUUUCUCAGAGCUCUGCUUGUGGAGGUGGAACAUGCUGACCUCGAGGAGGUGUGGGGAAGAACAGUAGCAAACUCUGAGGAUCUUAGAGGAAACUGCUUGUAAAUCUGGCAUGGACUGUGUAUUUUAGAGAAAUUUAGGAGAUUGAGAAGCCCAAUGCAUUUGGAGAUGGGGGGCACCUUCCCUGAGGCCCUGACUUAAUGUAAUCUUGUUUAUUCAUUGUCACCCUUUGAAUGUGGGCCUCUUUAUUUCCUCCAUUUUUUUGAUUAUAAAAGUUUUUAAAUAUGUGAAAAAUGAUGAAAGAAAGUACAACGAACACACAGACUCUCCACCCAGAUUCGACAGCCGCUAACACUGUGCUGUGUCUCCUGCCAUUGCUUUCUC